GGAGAAGCUAUGUAGCCGUGUGUAUGUCAAUGUCAUGUUUCUGCAACUGCAGGCUCGUGGCUCGGAACCGCUGCAGUAUUGUAUCCCAAAAGUGUGCCAUGAAAGCUAUCUCCAGGGUGUCCAGCUUGCCACAGAGUGCAGAGGCCUCGCUUCUAGUUUCACGAUAUCAACCAUUAAAGGCUGAAUUUAGGCGGUACAUUGGUGUCUCGAAUUAGUGUCGUUCUUCGCUGUAGUAGCACCAGUGAGCCUGUAGGGGGAGCAGCAGCUUAAACCAAAUAAAAGAAGAAUCACUAAAAUGAGCAGAAGAAGAGAUCACACUGGUUGGUUAUUAGCGUUAUUGUUUUUUCCUCAAUGAAGCAGUUGAUAGGUGAAAUUUAUCAGACGGAGGGGCUUUCUUUUUUUCUUUUUUAUGAUGGGCUGAAGUCUGAGCAGCUGCAGGGCUUUAAACAGGGAGGAGAAGCAGGACUCAGUCUGACCCCUUCCUCCAAGUUUCUGCAGGCUGAACUGGAGCUGAAUGUCCUUCUUAGCCGGCUGUCCUUCACAGAACCCGUCCGCUAUAUCUACAACCCUCUGGAGUACGCUUGGGAAACUCACCGCUGCUAUGUGGAGAGGUACUGUCAGAGCGGACAAUCGAUCCUGUUCCUGGGCAUGAAUCCAGGUCCUUUCGGGAUGGCACAGACAGGGGUGAGCACAGCAUUCUUACACAAUCCAUGUUUCAUUUUGCAUGUAUAAAACUGCUGAUAACCAUUGAUAUUGUGGUGACAAACAAACCAUGUGAUCUGCAGCCUUGGGGUCCGUUUCACGUAGGUGGUUCAACAAACUCUGAGUCAAAUCCUUAACUCUGAGUUGAUCUACUCUGAGAUAGGAAACUCUGAGUUUCCGGUUUCACAACACCUGAUUUGAGACAGUUUUAGCAACUCCGAGUAGUUUGACCUGGAGUUAAGCACGUGCACACCAGACAUAAACAGCCAGCAUCUGUGGAGCCCAGAUUCAUUGAUCAACCAAUGGAAACGAAAUGUUAUGAAUAUAACUUCUGUUCCCUGAAGGAGAGGAACGAGGUACAACACAUAUAGUAUGGGAUAUCACGCCCUCACGUGGCCUGACUGAAGACACCUUUAUUCACGCCUUUAAGGCAGAUGAUCUGUGGUGACGUCUGGGCGGCUCCGCCUGCACAUAUAUACGUGUAACACCACAGUCAUCCUUCAGUUCGAUAGCCGCUCUUCACCGAGCCUAGCUGCGCAGUGGGGCAACCCAGUGUUGUACCUCGUUCCUCUCCUUCAGGGAACAGAAGUUAUAUUCAUAACAUUUCGUUCCCUUUCAGUCAAUUCACUCGGUACAACACAUAUAGUAUGGGACAUAUAUACACGCCCCACAGAGCAGCCACCGAACCAAAGUCAACCUCCAAAACUUUAGUGCACUGUAGACCCAGCAGAAAGGACAGAGUGAGCCACUGAAGGGGCUGUCCCAUCCAAACAAUAAAACCGAACAAAAACUGUGCGGUGAUGAUCAACUGGCUGCAGUGCAGAUAUCACUCACAGAAACCCCUUUAACAAGGCCCAUGAGGCUGCCAUUCCCCUGGUUGAAUGUGCCCUCACACCUUGGGGCAACGGACGACCCCUGCUGCCGUAUGCUAAGGAGAUAGCCUCCACAAUCCAGCGGUAAAGCUGCUGUUUAGACAGUGCCUUGCCUUAGGCUGGAUUAGCAAAACAGACAAACAACUGGUAACAUAAACGCACACUCUGAGUGCGGUCUAUGUAAGUGCGUAGUGCACGCACAGGGCACAAGGAAUGCAACCUCCUCUGCUCCUCAGAUGCAAAUGGAGGACGGCAGAAGCUCAGUAGUUCAAAACUCAUAGAGCUAUAGGCUAUGGGGAUAAUCUUAGGCAAAUACGCCGCAUUUGGGCGCAAUGUAACCUUAGAUCCAUCCAGAGUGAACUGGAUACAAGAAGGAUGCACAGACAAAGCAUGAAGGUCACCCACUCGCCAAAGCAAGUAGCAGUGCAGUUUUGUAUGAAAGAAAUUUCAUGUCUGCUGACUCAACAGGCUCAAAUGAGGUCCACCAAGAGCCUCAAGCACCAACCCUGAAUCCCAUGAGGGAGCACUGGGUUUAAGCACAGGUCUUAGCCUGCGGACUCCCUUUAGGAAGUGCAUAGCAAGAGGGUGAGCGCCUGGCGUCACACCAUCAAAGCCAACAUGGCAUGCAGAUACAGCUGCCAAACAGACUUUAAUUGUUGAGAAAUAGAGACCCCUAUCCAGCCGCUCCUGAAGGAAUGUUAAAACAUCCACAAUAGAACUCUGAAAUGGGAGUACAUUUCGGUCCUGACAUGCAAUCUCUACUCUCUCACAUGAGGACCCCCCUGGAGAGAAGGUCUGGCCCAAGGUUUAAGUGACCCGGAAUAUGUGUGGCUCUGAGUGACAGAAAAUGAACACUGCACCAUAGCAACAGAGAGUGAGACAGUUUUAACAGGGGAAAAGAGCAUGUCCCUCCCUGUUUGUUUAUGUAGGAAACCAUGGUUGUGUUUUCCGUCCCGAUCAGAACCUGAUGGCCCGUCAGAACAGGACGAAAAUGCCUCAGAGCUAAUAGGAUGGCUAAUAGCUCAAGAUAAUUGAUGUGGAGUUUGCAUUGUGCUGGCGUCCACACACCUCUCACUGCUGCGCCCUCGCACAGAGCCCCCCGACCCCUCAGGGAUGCGUCUGUGGACACCACCUUGCGAAAAGACACCCUCCCUAUCGGAGAUCCCCGUUGUAGAAAACCGGGUUCUCUCCACGGGAGAAGAGCCGACAUGCAAGACGGAGUUAUCGUCAGCCUCCUCUGGAGGUGACGCUGCGCGCACAGCCGGUGAGACUGAGUCCAGCGUUGAAACGCUCUCAUCUUUAACAGUCCGUGCGGCACUACAGCGAUCAUAGAUGCCAUCAUGCCUGUCAGCUGUAAAAUCGUCCGAAAACACAGUUUGCGUCCCAACUGAAAUUGUGCCAGGCAGCGGCGAAACGUAACCACCCUGCGUUCUGACAGACGUGCUCGGCUUGAAACGGAGCAUAUUUCCAGCCCGAGAGAUGAUACCUGUUGACUCGGAGUCAGUGAACUUUUCUGUAAAUUACGGAAAAGCCCAGUGUUUGGAUGUGCGAUAGGGUCAAUGACAGCUGAGCCGCUGCUCGCUCGCUAGAGCACGCACUCAGCACCCAGUCGUCCAGAUAGGCUUAGAUGCGCACACCUUUCUCCCUUAGUGGAGCCAAUGCCGCCUCGACACAUUUGGUGAAUGUUCGGGGGCGAGUGAUAAGCCGAACGGCAGCACCAGGUAUUCGUAGGCUGUGCCCUCGAAUGCAAACCUUAGAAAGUGCCUGUGGUCCGGAUGAAUCGCUACGUGAAAGUAAGCAUCUGUCAGAUCGAUAGUUGUAAACCAAUCUCCCGGUCUGAUUUCGCCCAGUAGCUGUCUGAGUGUUAGCAUCUUGCACCUGUAAGUUCGUAGGUAUUUGUUUAACACUUGCAAGUCUAAGAUAGGACGGAGCCCUCCUCCUUUUUUCGGAACAACGAAAUAGUGGCUGUACCAACCUUUGUUCGUUUCCGAGCGGGAACAACUCAUAUCGCUCUCUUGUUCAACAAGUUGUUUAUUUGUUCCCUCAGCACUGCUGCUGCUUCCUCUGCUACAACUAUGUGUAUUACAGAGUGGAAGCGAGGCGACCGGGCCCCGAACUGUAAGCGGUAGCCCAUGGCAACGGAUCUCUCUACCCACGGUGAGACUGCGCAUGCGCGCCACCGAGGGAGACGUACAGUCAGUCGACUGACCUCCAGUACUGUGGGGGAGGGGUUGUCGCCCUCUAGCGUGCCGGCUGGGAACAGCAAUACUUUCCCGCCCAGACUUGAUUGAUUUAUGAUGUUUUGAGAACAAAACGAAACCUUUAUUAGACUCGACGAACGUACAUUUGUAACAUUCACUCAGUGAACAACAGGCGCCAUUACUGGGGCAUGUGUGUGAGGGAGGAUUGUGCUUGGGAAAAACUGUGUUAAGGGAGUGCAGCGCCUCUCGGGACCGGACCCCUGAACAAACAUUAAACGCGGCCUCUUUGGCGGCCAAAAAUGAAGGGCGGCAGCGUCUCUGCCGGUUUGUGCAGAUAACCCUGUUGUUUGGGCCUCGCAUCACGCCUGGGGAUGAUGCUGCUCAAAGCUUUGGUUUGUUUCUUCCUCGGCCCAAAAUUAGCCUGAAUGUCGUCGAGGGACUGCCCAAACAAACCGCUGGCCGACACAGGCUCGUCCAGAUAAACCGCUCUGUCCCUCUCUGGAACGUCGGAGAGAGUCAGCCACAGGUGCCUCUGCGCCACCACCGUGGAAGCCAUGCCUCUACCGAGAGAGAGCGCUGCACAGCGGGACACACGGAGGAUGUAAUCUGUGGCGACCAGAGCUUCAUUGAGGAGAGGAGAAAGCGGACUGUCGGGAGGCAUACGCGAGCCGAGUUCCGCCAGACACAUAGCCUGAUAUGUCUGAAGCAUGGUGACGGAGCUCAGUGCACGAGCCGUAUUUGCCUGUAUCCUGUAAAUUUUAUCCAGCUGUGACGCUGAAAAUCUACAGUGCUUGGAUGGGAGCGUGAUAGGGCCACCGACACCGUGAUUCUGGCCGGGGCCAGAUAGUCUGCCAGGGACGCCUCCAUAGACGGAGGGUUCACCAAUCCAGCUUUUUCAGCUCCAUCCAGGUCCAGAAACUGUCCACAACCGGGCACUGUGGCGCGGGUGGACAGCAGCUUGUCCCAUGUCGAGGUUAGUUCCGCGACAAAAUCCGGGAACAUGGGCAAGCUGUUCUUGUCAGUCGUCGGUUCGGGUGGGAGAAAAAACCCUGUGAACCGCGACGGUUUUUGAGCCGGUGGAGGAGAGGGCCAUCCUACUUCCAGUUUCUCAGCUGCACGGCGGUACAGUGAGAGGAAGGAUGUGUCGUCUAGAUCAACCGGCGCAGCAGCGGCGGCAUACUGACCCGAAGACAACGGCUCCUGCUCAUCCUCCGAAAAACCCUGCACGCCCAGGCCAAUGUCCAGCACGUCAUCGUCCUCCUGGUAACAAGCUAGCCCGGAUAGCGGCUGGCCAGUGCCCUCGGAGGGGCCCGGCUCAAAUCCAGCUGACCCGUCAGCACACUCCACAUGGUCUGCCCAGUUUCCAACUGAGCCUUCGACCAGAAAGUCCUCACCACCGGACUCGGGCAAAGCCGGGUCUCUGGACUCGGAGAGGCGGGGAUCAUGCAGCGCAACAGCGGAUUUUCCUAGUAUUUUCUCCACAAACUUGACCCGCCUUCCCAGGGUUGAGCUCCGAAGCCGGUGACAGGACUCACACGACUCGGGCUCAGUCAAUGCCCUCCUGGCGUGGACAACACCCAGGCAAACAGGACAAGCCUCAUGGAGAUCCUUUUCGUGAAGGGAGAAGCCGCACCCCUGAGGACAGGGGCGAACAGAAGACUUCGCCUUCGCUUUCAUGGGCUCAGCGCUCAUAACAAGACGCAGAAGCUGAAUGAAAUUAGCGCUCCGCGGGUAGCUGCUGGCUCACACCAACAGGGGCAGUUAAACUAAAAACGAUCAGGCAAUAGCCACAGACAAGACCAGGCUAAUUUAGCAGCAGCUAGUUAGCCUGACUCGGUGUAGGUGUUCUCAGCGAGGUGAAGAGCGUAAGAACUGAAGGAUGACUGUGGUGUUACACGUAUAUAUGUGCAGGCGGAGCCGCCCAGACGUCACCACAGAUCAUCUGCCUUAAAGGCGUGAAUAAAGGUGUCUUCAGUCAGGCCAUGCGAGGGCGUGAUAUCCCAUACUAUAUGUGUUGUACCGAGUGAAUCGACUGAAAGGGAACAGGGAGAAGGAGGGGGCAGCAGCAAGCCAACGGCGAAUUACAGCACGUUUUUAAAAGAAAGUGCAAUACAGCUAGUCCUUGAGCCGGACCAGAUGUCGGUACCACUUGGGUGGGCAAAACCUUACAUAUACUAAAUUGUUUUUAGGGUCAAUAUAAGUAAAUUAAAAUAUGAUAGACUUUUCAUAGGGGUAGCUUUUUAUAUUUUUUCUUAUUUUGUUAUUUUCCUCAAUAGGCGAAUUUUUAACUCCAAAAGCAACACAGAAAGUCAAAAGCACAUUAAAAGUCAUACUCUAUUUGAGUCACACUGCUCUUUUCUAUAAGUGAAUCAAACCUGUGUCUAAUUAAAUGAGUUGAUGAAGUAGGAGUGGCCCAAUUUGAUGGUGGAGCAGUUCUUUCAGGUAUCAUAGCACUUGAGCCAAGAACCAAAAUUUCACAUAUCAGUACCACCUGGGUGGACAAAUUCUAGUUGUGAUUUUUUUAUUGCUAUACAUCCCUACAAUAAGUUUUUAUAUGAUAGACCUUGGUAGCUGGUAGCUUUAUUGUAGUUAUCACUCAUUGAAGUAAUAGAGUGCAGCUGUUCAAAAAUGAAAAAUCGCCUUCCUUCAAAAUUAGCUUUCUUUCAUUUUAACCUCUCAUUUAGGUGUGUUUGAACUAUUGGCUAGCCAUAGAGACUUGUAAUAACCCCCUAAGUAGUAUUUCAAGUAAUUUAUCUAAUACAGGUGUGUAUAUAUAGCUUCAAUUAGCCAAUUGUCAGGUCUAAAUCAAGGUCUAAAUUAAGGAUAUUUUUUUACUUACAAGUAGAAGUAAAGUAAAUGCAGACUAAUAGCAUUAGAAUAACACAACUGUAAUAUGACACUGAUAUAUUUUAAAUGCAGGCACUCAUUAUACAAUCAUCCUGGCUGGUUCAGGGCAAGAAGACAUUAGCAACAAAAUAAGAUCUACUGAUGUAUACACUCUAUACAAUCAUCUGAGAAAAACUCCAUUCCUCCACCAAGAACUUGAUGAGACUGGCUUUGUUGGCAGGGCUGCAGAGAAGUUUCCUCCACUGCUGAAUAUUGUGGCCAGAAACAAUGUUUCUGAACUGGAUCCCCAUGUCUGCACCUCUGUUAAGUCUUUCUGAAUUUUUGAUUGACAUGUCCUUGUAAACGUCAAAGACAACAUCAAUCUUUUCACUAUCACCACCUUCAUGCAGGACCUUGGCUAAAGUUGAGUCCAGCCAGCUUCCACCAUGUCAGGAUUGCGUAUUAAUGCAACCGAUUCGUGCCAACUACCAGGCUGCUAUCUGGAGACGGUCUCUUCAUACCAAGCCAUCUGUACCAAGCCCCAAGGACCAUGGGUGGACCAUAAAUGACGAAGGGCAGCUGGAAAUACAGUGGAUGCGUGGUUCCCCAGCACCAGAUGCGGUCUUGCAGUUGCUAUCCUGCAAGUGUGUGAGGACAUGCAAACCACCAGAC
rnacentral:lncRNA from 1 species